GAAAAAUGUAAGCACAUCAUUGCUGUACUGCUAUCAGAAUAGUAAUAAAAUAGAAGUCUUAUCAUGUACUGAUAAGGAAUGUGAAUUCGGAAAAAAAGCACAAGAUUUUGUAAAAUUAUAAUCCUGCUCCUCUUUCGCAACAUGAAUGUUUCUCUCCUUCACAACCUCCAAAAAUAUUCAAAUUGUUAAGAGUGCUCUAAAAUUAAUAGGAGAAAAAGGUAAAGAGAGAGAAGAGACUAAAGAAGAAAUAAAAGAAUCAUUAAAAAAACAUGAUGCCUGUCAUACAAAAACUGAGAGGAGAAAAGAAGUCCUUGCACUUUCUCUGGUACAAGAAACUGGAAUUAAAAAUAUUAUAUACAAAGAUCUACCUGAUUCUGUUUUAACUAAACACAUGUCAGAACGACACACGCUAGUGAGCACAAAGAACAAAAGUAAAACUAUAUACUAUUGAAAAAGAAAUUAUUCAAAUUAUUUUUUAAUUUUAAGACGGUGUACUGAUGACUGCAAUAAAAAAAUUACCAGUAUGUGCAGUACAAGAAUGUUGUAUUAAUAUGAUUAAUGAACUCAGUGAAAAUGUUGAAGAGAUUUGUGUAAAAACUGAAGACUCGUACGCUUACUGGAUACAAGAAAGAAGAUAUAGGAUAACAGGUUCUACUUGUUAUGAAUUAUUUACGAACAGGAAUAAUAAAAAUGCAGACUGGAA